UGAGGAAUAUUGGUCAAUGGGAGAGAUCCUGAACCAGCCAAGCCGCGUGAGGGAAGACGGCCCUAUGGGUUGUAAACCUCUUUUGUCGGAGAACAAACCCGGGACGUGUCCCGGACUGCGUGUAUCCGAAGAAAAGCAUCGGCUAACUCCGUGCC
rnacentral:rRNA from 1 species